ensembl:lncRNA
CGGUGAUCUAAAUAAAAUAGAUGAAUGAAUGCAGCGGUCUGUCACAUGUGCAUUGUGUGCAGCAAAGGUAAAUUUAAGUUGAGCUAAAGAUGUUUUAAGAGCAAGUGUGCAAAGCUGAGCUUCUGAAUAGGUAUUAUGUCCUAUCAAGGACUCAUUGUUUAACAGAUCCUAUAUCUAACAAUGCCUCAUUGUGAAGGCUCCAAAGAUCAGUGCAUUAAAUACCAGUUUUUCAGACCCCUUCACAUUUUCAGUGUCUUCCAGUGCUGCAAACACUCGGACAUUCCUGCUGCACUCAUACCUGUAUGGACAUCUAUUGGCUGUGUCUGCAUUACUCUGUGAAAAAGGGAGAAAUAGCUCACAUCAGUGCAUUUAAUUCUACAAGAAUUUUAUUCUAUCCCAUUCCAUCUUCUUUUUGGGAUAUUGGAAAGCUGCUGCACAUGCAAGAAAAGAGAUCUGGAUUUCACAAAUGAUUCCAGCUGGAUGGCUACUUCAGAGGGAGACCAGGAGAAACACCGCUGUGAAAGGCCAUGUGAUUAACGUGCAGUAAGACAUCCAGACUGUGCACUUUGACUGCAGGGAGGAUAUGGCCUUCCAUGAGAGGAAAGAUUCCGGUUCAUUUUACUGUGUGUAGGAAGUGGAUUUAUGCAGUGCUAUCGGUAGACAGGGAGGCAAGCACUGCUUCCUUGCUGGCGACUGAAGUAUGUGAAACUGCUGUAAUCUGAUCACUAAAAAUGAGUGGAAGACUGGUGAUGGGAUGAGCAGUAAAGCAGCAUCGUGGUUCAGAAGUGGCAGCCGAGACAUCCCCACACCUCUGCUGCAGUGAAGAGAAACUGAGAGUCAGCUGGAAAGAGACUUGACAAUGUGGAUACCUGGAAGAUCAGGGGCCUGAAAUGAAAGCCUAAGCAGUUCUUUACCUUCUACCAUCUUGCUACGCAAUACUUCAAAGAGAAAAGACUUCACCCAUCCCCUAAGCACUUACAGUAAAAUUCAAGGCAUAAAGCAAGAGUGAUGGCCCUAAAAAAGAAACUGAGAGCUGUCAGAAGUCUGGCACAUGCACCACAUCAGGCUCCAAAACCACAUAUGAUCUAAAUUCACUUAAUUACUUCCACAGCUAUGCUUUGUACAUGUUUGUUGCUGCAGAUUCUGGAUUCUUCCCCAGGCUUAGUGCACCAGUAUCAACUACCCCAGGUUGUGCCAAGGAGCUUGUCCUGCACAUGAGGGUGUCCAGCACACACAAAGAACUACUUGCUCAUUUUGCUCUGGCACACACAUAUCUAUCCAGUUAACCUUUUAAACCCCUCCCAGUAUCUGCAGCAGCUCAAUGAACAGCAGGUGAAGCAAAUGACCAAUCAUCCAAUGGCACUCACCAAGCCAUAGGGAAUGGAGACACCCACUGACAUCUUCCCAAAGAGCCCAUGAGAAGAGCUGGGUACCUACAUCUGUGUGCUCCAGCUCAGAUCCAUCUGGGCUUAGGCACCAUGGUUACAGAGAGGGAGCACUUCUCCAUUUGGCUAAUGGUUUCUCCAGUCUCUCUGAUUAUCUAGCUAACAUAGCUUUGUGUCUGCAGCAUUUAUGCUAGCAGGAGCACUAUAAGAGCUAAGAGCUUCAUGCUCCAAAUUCUGUAGUUGGGACCUGCAGCUGGAGACUCAUAGAGUCACAGAAUAGAAUCAUAGAAUGUCCUGAGUUGGAAGAGACCUGCAAGGAUGAUUGAUUCCAACUCCUGGCUCCACACAGGACCAUGCGAAUUUCAAACCAUGUGUCUGAUAGCAUUAUGCCUUUGUCCAAAGGACUUGGGAGAUGGUGUUGAAGUCCCACAAAGCGGGAACAUGUCUCACAGAAUUGACAAGCAUGGUGGAGACAAGCUUAGUGCAGAUCUGUUAUUUACUAUAUAUGUUGUAGAGUCUCUGUGGCCUCCACAAGAGCAAACCAGCAUUGCUGGGGGAGAGUCAGCAGCAGACAGGAAAAUACCAAGUACUCGUGACUAAUAAUUUUGUAGAUGGGAGCAGAUCCUUACCAAACUACCCAAAGAGCAUAUAUCUGUUGGCCAGCACCAAGAUUAAAAAUAAAAAAUGCCUUACAGAUCCAGAAUAGGGUAGCUAGCUGGCAUCAGUGUAAAGAACCCCGGCACAUUAGUUUCAUGGCCAACAAUUUAGCAUUCAACUAUCAGCACGGUGCUCGUAAUGGUAGAGAUUGCUGAGUGAAGUGCAGUAUCUUCUGGGGAAUGAUGAAGCUGUCACUUCUGCAAAAUUCUUUCCAUUCCAUUUCUCAGUUUUCACUCCUUUAUUAUCGUUAUUUCAGCUUAGCCACGGAGUUUUCCAGGGAUAAGUGAAGUCCAAAUUCCUAAUAUUAAAGAAACAAACAAAAGGAAUGCAAACAGAGAGAGAGGGGAAAAAAAGAUCUGGAGGAAAACCAAAUCUUUCUGCACUACAACGCAGUCAAAACAAAACACACCCACAUUCCCCCCACUUUGUAGUUCACUUUUAUGUAGAGCUGUGUCCAUCAGCUGGAAGCUGUCUCGCUGUUUGCACUGUGCAUGGGGAUGUGCCAGAGAUUCCCUCUUACUCCCCUGGGUGGGAUGUAAAGAAUUUCUCUGCACAUAGCUGGCAUUCCUAUUGAACUGAGUCACUUCGUAGCCCAGACAAUAAUGCCAGUCUUAUCCAAACACUCAGAGAUAGACACUGUGAUUUUUUUCUAAUGAUAUCAUUAUGAGAAUGUCCAUUGGAUAUGAAGCAUCCUGGACAAAACUUGUGUUAAAAACCACAUAGCCCAUGCUCACCACCUGCAGUUAAGAGACAUACCUGGCUGUCCCACUUUCCCAAGAUUAAUUAUUCAAGCCUGAGGAAAAGGGGCCAAAAUUACAGUGCAUACGUUACAACAAAUGAGUUCCUGAAGAUGCAGUCAUGAUGCAGUCAUCAUGUGUUCCUUCCUCCUGGUGGCAACCAGAAUAAGCACCAAACUGCUCUGUUGGUUUUUGUUCCUAAACAUAAACCCUCACAAUCCUUUACCAGUAGCUUUGGCAGAACAUCUCAUCUUUGCCGUGUUUGUGCUGCAGUGGCAGGGCACAAACAGAACUUUUUUUUACAGAGGCCAUUAGUUGGAAAUACAAUACUAGUCAAAACUGAACAUGGGUCACAAGCUGCCGAAGCUGUACUUCUACUUGGAAGACAUUACUAGAUAGAUGAAAACAAAUAUCCUGUGGUCACUGUAGUGUGAGACCGUGAUGGAACCCAAUGUGAGAAAGAAAAGGAGUGGAAAAAGAGGUGGCUCUUACCUUGUGCUUAGAUUCUGUUUAUUAAAUAAAAAUAUAAAAAAUAAAAAUAAAAAUUGAGAUGUUUGUAUGUGUGGUUCUGGAGCAAACUGCCAAAGUAGGGUUUGCAUUUUGCACCACCUUCCCUCUGUCCUGCUGGGUUGAGACUGCUGGUGUUGGUGACUGUCCCUUGGGGUUACAGAUCUGUGUCUAACCAGGAGAGAACCAGAGCCCUGCGUACAUUGGAG